rnacentral:ncRNA from 2 species
AUGGAUCUUCGGGGUAAGGUGAAAUUCCUAACCGGCGGUGAUGGUGCGUUACUUGUGAACGUGCUUUAGCCCGCGACUCGCUGUUUCGAGAUUGAGAUGGCGACUGACUUGGUGUAAUUCCAAGGCCGACGGUAUAGUCCGGAUGGGAGAAGAUCAAA